rnacentral:rRNA from 1 species
UACGUAGGGUGCAAGCGUUGUCCGGAAUUAUUGGGCGUAAAGAGCUCGUAGGCGGUCUGUCGCGUCGGCUGUGAAAUCUCGGGGGCUCAACCCCGAGCCUGCAGUCGAUACGGGCAGACUAGAGUGCUGUAGGGGAGACUGGAAUUCCUGGUGUAGCGGUGAAAUGCGCAGAUAUCGAGGAGGAACACCGGUGGCGGAAGGGCGGGAUCUCCUGGGGCAGCUGAACAUGAACCGGCUGGAGGAGCGAAAGCCGUGGGGAGCGAACAGG